AAAAAAAACUUCCUGCUCUUGGAUUAUAAAGAUUUUACAUAGGAUAUUCUAUUACACUGGUAGGGGUUCUCCAGCCAGGGCACGAGUUUUCAAAAGUUGAUCACAACUGACAGUGUGGUCCAGCGCGUUGUCCACUGCAGUACUCUACAGAAACUUACAAGGAAUAAUCUAUGAUGUUUACUCUCAUUCUAUGACGAGUUUAAUUUUGUUAGAUUAAACAAAAAUGUAUCUCUUUGAUGUGUGAUCGAUACGUGUGGAUUUUUUUUAUUUGAUAUAUGUACAUAACACAGAUUUAUGAGUGCACAUUACAAAACGCUGAUAACCAAAACCAAUGUCUGCGACUGGUUAUUGUCCAUUUUAACGUCAUGUUGUAAGCUUUUGAUUUACCGUGUGGCAGUAAAUACAAAAUUUACAAGUUG
rnacentral:sRNA from 1 species